rnacentral:lncRNA from 1 species
AUCGAAAUAAUAUAUCAUCAAAAGCACAGAAUUUGCAUGCUAAGAUUACGUCGAAAAAAAAAGUUAACAGAAAAUUUGCAUAAUUUUGUUUGGCUGACGCUUUUGCAAAAGUUUUUAUCAAAAUCCAAAUUGAUCAUUAAAGUUAUCUUACAAAAGAUUCUAUAGACACACGAAGCGCAAGUGUUGCGAUGGACCUGUUUAAUUUAAGGCUUACAGACCAAAUUAGUUGUUUUCUUGCAGUAAAAAGCUUUAAUUUGCUUACACAGCAUCUCUUUCUUUUCUUAACAUAUAACUUCACCAAAUCAUUCAGAAAAAAAAAAAAAACACUCCAGAAAAUUUUAAAUAAUCCUACCUAAUAU